rnacentral:rRNA from 1 species
GCCGCGUGUGUGAAGAAGGUCUUCGGAUUGUAAAGCACUUUCGACGGGGACGAUGAUGACGGUACCCGUAGAAGAAGCCCCGGCUAACUUCGUGCCAGCAGCCGCGGUAAUACGAAGGGGGCUAGCGUUGCUCGGAAUAACUGGGCGUAAAGGGCGCGUAGGCGGUUUGGACAGUCAGAUGUGAAAUUCCUGGGCUUAACCUGGGGGCUGCAUUUGAUACGUACAGACUAGAGUGUGAGAGAGGGUUGUGGAAUUCCCAGUGUAGAGGUGAAAUUCGUAGAUAUUGGGAAGAACACCGGUGGCGAAGGCGGCAACCUGGCUCAUGACUGACGCUGAGGCGCGAAAGCGUGGGGAGCAAACAGGAUUAGAUACCCUGGUAGUCCA